CUAAGAUCUCUGGAGGAGGCAAAGUUGUGGUCUAGAAUAUGAAACUGGUGGGUCUUCUCCUAUGCCUGGUGACAGGGCCCUAUGGUGUCCUGUCCCAGGUGCAGCUGCAGGAGUCUGGACCUGGCCUGGUGAAGCCCUCACAGCCCCUGUCCCUCACCUGCACCGUCUCUGGAUACUCCAUCACAAGUGGUUAUACCUGGCACUGGAUCCGUCAGCCCCCAGGAAAGAGCCUGGAGUGGAUGGGGUACAUAACCUACAGUGGUAGCACUAGCUACAACCCAUCCCUCAAGAGCCGCAUCUCCAUCUCCAGAGACACAGACAAGAACCAGUUCUCUCUGCAGCUGAACUCGGUCACCACGGACGACACAGCCACAUAUUACUGUGCAAGAGACACAGUGAUUUCAUGCCAGUGUGAACCUGGACACAAACCUCCCUGCAGUGGCCCUUGGGACCAGCAGGGGGCGCACAGUACACACUAG